CACGUAGGGGGCAAGCGUUGUCCGGAUUCAUUGGGCGUAAAGAGCUCGUAGGCGGUUCGAUAAGUCGGGUGUGAAACCUCCAGGCUCAACCUGGAGGCGCCACCCGAUACUGUCGUGACUAGAGUCCAGUAGGGGAGCGUGGAAUUCCUGGUGUAGCGGUGAAAUGCGCAGAUAUCAGGAGGAACACCAGCGGCGAAGGCGGCGCUCUGGGCUGGCACUGACGCUGAGGAGCGAAAGCGUGGGGAGCGAACAGG
rnacentral:rRNA from 1 species